UGGGGAAUAUUGCACAAUGGGCGAAAGCCUGAUGCAGCAACGCCGCGUGAGUGAUGAAGGCCUUCGGGUUGUAAAGCUCUGUCUUCUGGGACGAUAAUGACGGUACCAGAGGAGGAAGCCACGGCUAACUACGUGCCAGCAGCCGCGGUAAUACGUAGGUGGCAAGCGUUGUCCGGAUUUACUGGGCGUAAAGGAUGCGUAGGCGGAUACUUAAGUCAGAUGUGAAAAUCCCGGGCUUAACUUGGGAACUGCAUUUGAAACUGGGUAUCUAGAGUGCGGGAGAGGAAAGUGGAAUUCCUAGUGUAGCGGUGAAAUGCGUAGAGAUUAGGAAGAACACCAGUGGCGAAGGCGACUUUCUGGACCGCAACUGACGCUGAGGCAUGAAAGCGUGGGGAGCAAACA
rnacentral:rRNA from 1 species